rnacentral:lncRNA from 1 species
CUCCCACUCCCAAGUCGCCCCCGUCCCGCAAGAAAGAUGAUUCCUUCUUGGGGAAAAUCGGAGGGACCCUAGCCCGGAGGAAGAAAGCCAAGGAGGUGUCCGAGCUGCAGGAGGAGGGAAUGAACGCCAUCAACCUGCCCCUCAGCCCGAUUCCCUUCGAGCUGGACCCCGAGGACACGAUGCUGGAGGAGAAUGAGGUGCGAACAAUGGUGGAUCCAAACUCACGCAGUGACCCCAAGCUUCAAGAACUGAUGAAGAGAAACUGGAGAGUGAGAAGCUAAAUGUGGCUGAGGUCACCCAGUCAGAGAUUGCUCAGAAGCAAAAACUGCAGACUGUCCUGGAGAAGAUCAAUGAAACCCUGAAACUUCCUCCCAGGAGCAUCAAGUGGAAUGUGGAUUCUGUUCAUGCCAAGAGCCUGGUGGCCAUCUUACACCUGCUCGUUGCUCUGUCUCAGUAUUUCCGGGCACCAAUUCGACUCCCAGACCAUGUUUCCAUCCAAGUGGUUGUGGUCCAGAAACGAGAAGGAAUCCUCCAGUCUCGGCAAAUCCAAGAG